GAUCAUGGCUCAGGACGAACGCUGGCGGCGUGCUUAACACAUGCAAGUCGAACGAUGAACCUGGAGCUUGCUCUGGGGGAUUAGUGGCGAACGGGUGAGCAACACGUGAGUAACCUGCCCUGGACUCUGGGAUAACCCCGAGAAAUCGGAGCUAAUACCGGAUAGGACCUGGAACCGCAUGGUUUUGGGUGGAAAGUUUUUUCGGUCUGGGAUGGACUCGCGGCCUAUCAGCUUGUUGGUGAGGUAAUGGCUCACCAAGGCGUCGACGGGUAGCCGGCCUGAGAGGGUGACCGGCCACACUGGGACUGAGACACGGCCCAGACUCCUACGGGAGGCAGCAGUGGGGAAUAUUGCACAAUGGGCGAAAGCCUGAUGCAGCAACGCCGCGUGAGGGAUGACGGCCUUCGGGUUGUAAACCUCUUUUAGUAGGGAAGAAGGGCUUCGGCUUGACGGUACCUGCAGAAAAAGCACCGGCUAACUACGUGCCAGCAGCCGCGGUAAUACGUAGGGUGCGAGCGUUGUCCGGAAUUAUUGGGCGUAAAGAGCUCGUAGGCGGUUUGUCACGUCUGCUGUGAAAUCCCGAGGCUCAACCUCGGGCCUGCAGUGGGUACGGGCAGACUGGAGUGCGGUAGGGGAGAUUGGAAUUCCUGGUGUAGCGGUGGAAUGCGCAGAUAUCAGGAGGAACACCGAUGGCGAAGGCAGAUCUCUGGGCCGUAACUGACGCUGAGGAGCGAAAGCGUGGGGAGCGAACAGGAUUAGAUGCCCUGGUAGUCCACGCCGUAAACGUUGGGCGCUAGAUGUGGGGACCAUUCCACGGUUUCCGUGUCGUAGCUAACGCAUUAAGCGCCCCGCCUGGGGAGUACGGCCGCAAGGCUAAAACUCAAAUGAAUUGACGGGG
rnacentral:rRNA from 1 species